GGUUGACCUCGGAUCAGGUAGGACUACCCGCUGAACUUAAGCAUAUCAAUAAGCGGAGGAAAAGAAACCAACAGGGAUUGCCCUAGUAACGGCGAGUGAAGCGGCAACAGCUCGAAUUUGAAAUCUGGCCUCGGCCCGAGUUGUAAUCUGUAGAGGACGCUUUUGGCGCGGUGCCUUCCGAGUUCCCUGGAACGGGACGCCACAGAGGGUGAGAGCCCCGUAAGGUCGGACACCAAGCCUGUGUAAAGCCCCUUCGACGAGUCGAGUAGCUUGGGAAUGCUGCUCUAUGCGGGAGGUAUACUUUUUCUAAAGCUAAAUAUUGGCCAGAGACCGAUAGCGCACAAGUAGAGUGAUCGAAAGAUGAAAAGCACUUUGAAAAGAGGGUCAAAUAGUACGUGAAAUUGUUGAAAGGGAAGCGCUUGUGAUCAGACUCGCGCCGGGCGGAUCAUCCAGUGGUCUCCACUGGUGCACUCCGGCCGGCGCGGGCCAGCGUCGGCUGUUGCGGGGGGACAAAAGCUCUGGGAACGUAGCUCUCUCCGGGGAGUGUUAUAGCCCUCUGCAGAAUACCCCCGCGGCGGCCGAGGUCCGCGCAUUGCAAGGACGCUGGCGUAAUGGUCAUCAGCGACCCGUCUUGAAACACGGACCAAGGAGUCGAGGUUUUGCGCGAGUGUUCGGGUGCAAAGCCCCAACGCGUAAUUAACGUGAACGUAGGUGAGAGCUUCGGCGCAUCAUCGACCGAUCCUGAUGUAUUCGGAUGGAUUUGAGUAGGAGCGUAAAGCCUCGGACCCGAAAGAUGGUGAACUAUGCCUGUAUAGGGUGAAGCCAGAGGAAACUCUGGUGGAGGCUCGCAGCGGUUCUGACGUGCAAAUCGAUCGUCAAAUAUGGGCAUGGGGGCGAAAGACUAAUCGAACCAUCUAGUAGCUGGUUACCGCCGAAGUUUCCCUCAGGAUAGCAGUGUUGUUCUUCAGUUUUAUGAGGUAAAGCGAAUGAUUAGGG
rnacentral:rRNA from 1 species